GACGAACUGUGCAAACGUUAUUCGGAAUCACUGGGCGUAAAGGGUGCGUAGGCGGUCGGGUAAGUCUGGCGUGAAAUCUCCAAGCCUAACUUGGAAACUGCGUUGGAUACUAUCCGGCUCGAGGAAUGGAGGGGAGACUGGAAUACUUGGUGUAGCAGUGAAAUGCGUAGAUAUCAAGUGGAACACCAGUGGCGAAGGCGAGUCUCUGGACAUUUCCUGACGCUGAGGCACGAAAGCCAGGGGAGCAAACGGG
rnacentral:rRNA from 1 species